CCUACGGGAGACAGCAGUGAGGAAUAUUGGUCAAUGGACGAGAGUCUGAACCAGCCAAGUAGCGUGAAGGAUGACUGCCCUAUGGGUUGUAAACUUCUUUUAUAUGGGAAUAAAACGUUCCACGUGUGGGAUUUUGUAUGUACCAUAUGAAUAAUGAUCGGCUAACUCCGUGCCAGCAGCCGCGGUAAUACGGAGGAUCCGAGCGUUAUCCGGAUUUAUUGGGUUUAAAGGGAGCGUAGGUGGAUUGUUAAGUCAGUUGUGAAAGUUUGCGGCUCAACCGUAAAAUUGCAGUUGAAACUGGCAGUCUUGAGUACAGUAGAGGUGGGCGGAAUUCGUGGUGUAGCGGUGAAAUGCUUAGAUAUCACGAAGAACUCCGAUUGCGAAGGCAGUUCACUGGACUGCAACUGACACUGAGGCUCGAAAGUGUGGGUAUCAAACAGGAUUAGAUACCCUGGUAGUC
rnacentral:rRNA from 1 species